rnacentral:misc_RNA from 1 species
GUGAGUCAUCGAAUCUUUGAACGCACAUUGCGCCCACCAGCAUUCUGAUGGGCAUGCCUGUUCGAGCGUCAUUUCAACCCUCUGGCUCCGGCCGGGUGUUGGGGUCCCUGCGGCACCGCAGACCCCGAAAGCCAGUGGCGGGCUCCGCACGACCCCGAGCUUAGUACACAAUCUCCUCGCUCCAGGGCGUCUGGCGGGCGACCCAGCCGUUAAACGCGCUGCACGGCAGCACCUUAUAGUUGACCUCGGAUCAGGUAGGAAUACCCGCUGAACUUAAGCAUAUCAAUAAGCGGAGGA